AUUGAACGCUGGCGGCAUGCUUUACACAUGCAAGUCGAACGGUGACAGGCCGCAAGGUGCUGACGAGUGGCGAACGGGUGAGUAAUGCAUCGGAACGUGCCCAGUCGUGGGGGAUAACGCAGCGAAAGUUGCGCUAAUACCGCAUACGAUCUAUGGAUGAAAGCGGGGGACCGUAAGGCCUCGCGCGAUUGGAGCGGCCGAUGUCAGAUUAGGUAGUUGGUGGGGUAAAGGCUCACCAAGCCGACGAUCUGCAGCUGGUCUGAGAGGACGACCAGCCACACUGGGACUGAGACACGGCCCAGACUCCUACGGGAGGCAGCAGUGGGGAAUUUUGGACAAUGGGCGCAAGCCUGAUCCAGCAAUGCCGCGUGCAGGAAGAAGGCCUUCGGGUUGUAAACUACUUUUGUACGGAACGAAACGGUCCUGGUUAAUACCCGGGGCUAAUGACGGUACCGUAAGAAUAAGCACCGGCUAACUACGUGCCAGCCGCCGCGGUAACAC
rnacentral:rRNA from 1 species